rnacentral:lncRNA from 1 species
AUGGCGUGUGGAAUCUUCCUGGACCAGGGAUCAAGCUCAUAUUCCCUGUACUGGCAGGUGGACUCUUAUCCACCAUGCCACCAGGGAAGUCCAAGAGGAUGUCUUCUUGCCACAGACUCCACCUUUGGAUCCAGUGGAAAUAACAGAUUUGAGAGAGAGGAGGUGAGGGAAGGGGAAAGCCUGCAGCCAAGAGGGGGUUGGAGAAUAGGGCUGAGAUAUUCUCCUGUCUCAGAGGAAGAGCACUUCUGCCAGGGAUCAGGAAGAGAUGUGCUGUCUGAGUCCUCAGAUGCACGUAGGUUACCCAGGAAGGCACUGGAGCAGAGUAGGAAAGAAAGAGUCCGACCUGGGCUUGAAUGCUGCCUCUGCCAGUUGGAAGCCAUGAGAUCUAGGGCAGGUUUCUCCACUCUGAGCCUUAGUUUUCUCUUUGUAAAGGGGGUCAGUAAUACUGCCUUCUCCCUGAAUUGCUGUGGUUCGAGCUUCAUUGCUUUUAUGGUUUUUUGUCUCAAGUCGGCACUCUUCUGUCUUAAGUUUUAUCCAGCCUCCCACGCUCUCAAACCAAUGAUCAUAGGCUCCUUCUGAAGGAAGAGAAUUUGGCUUUGAGAAGAAGACGGAGUCAUUGCAGCUUUUCUUCAAGUUCUCCUGCUCCUCAUGGUCACAGCUCAGCUUGUCAUUUGCUUCGGACCUUCCCUCCUUUCUCUGUCUUGACAGAUAAUAGCCCAACAUGCUGCAUUUCUUUCUCAUGAUGAAGUAGCAUCUCAUUUCCUCUCUCGUGAGUGUUUGUGACCACACUUUCACUAGAGGCUUUCUCAUCACUAAGAUGACCUAUCGGCUCUGCUUUUCUGUUCUCUUCUGCAGCGUUGGUGAGAAUUGAUUUUUCUCUCCAUCCGGGGUGGUGAGAUGCAUGCUCGGUUUUGGAAUUUUAGUCAGUUCCCUCCUGGAUCUUUGUGCCUGGUCAUCAACAUUGUUGACAUGCCCUGAUUCCAAUUUGUUACCUCAUUCUCUUCUCCUCAGAGGUUAAAGCGUCUGCCUGCAAUGCGGGAGACCUGGGUUCGAUC